UAAUACGAACUGUGCGAACGUUAUUCGGAAUCACUGGGCUUACAGGGUGCGUAGGUGGCCGGACAAGUCAGGUGUGAAAUCCCUCAGCUCAACUGAGGAACUGCGCUUGAAACUGUUUGGCUAGAGUGAGCUAGGGGUGCUUGGAACUGCCAGUGGAGCGGUGAAAUGUGUUGAUAUUGGCAGGAACACCGGAGCCGAAAGGGAAGCACUGGGGCUUAACUGACACUGAGGCACGAAAGCCAGGGGAGCAAACGGGAUUAGAUACCCCGGUAGUCCUGGCCGUAAACUAUGAGAACUGGGCGGGGGAGUGCUUGCACAUCCCGGCCGUAGCGAAAGCGUUAAGUUCUCCGCCUGGGGAGUAUGGUCGCAAGGCUG
rnacentral:rRNA from 1 species